GAGGGUAUUGCUCAGUGGUAGAGCGCAUGCUUAGCAUGCACAAGGUCCUGGGUUCAAUCCCCAGUACUUCCA
rnacentral:tRNA from 1 species